AUUGAACGCUGGCGGCAUGCCUUACACAUGCCAGUCGAACGGCAGCAUGAUCUAGCUUGCUAGAUUGAUGGCGAGUGGCGAACGGGUGAGUAAUACAUCGGAACGUGCCCUGUAGUGGGGGAUAACUAGUCGAAAGAUUAGCUAAUACCGCAUACGACCUGAGGGUGAAAGUGGGGGACCGCAAGGCCUCAUGCUAUAGGAGCGGCCGAUGUCUGAUUAGCUAGUUGGUGAGGUAAAGGCUCGCCAAGGCGACGAUCAGUAGCUGGUCUGAGAGGACGAUCAGCCACACUGGGACUGAGACACGGCCCAGACUCCUACGGGAGGCAGCAGUGGGGAAUUUUGGACAAUGGGCGAAAGCCUGAUCCAGCAAUGCCGCGUGUGUGAAGAAGGCCUUCGGGUUGUAAAGCACUUUUGUCCGGAAAGAAAUGGCUCUGGUUAAUACCUGGGGUCGAUGACGGUACCGGAAGAAUAAGGACCGGCUAACUACGUG
rnacentral:rRNA from 1 species